rnacentral:misc_RNA from 1 species
GGCAAAAUGGCAAUUUCAAUUUGAUAACAAGAAAACCUGCUAUUACAAGUCAAAAUGACUUUUUUUGAAAAUAAUUUAAAAUUGAGUUAUAUUAUUUUGACAAUUUGAAGUUAAUCACUAAAAUGAAAUAAUCCUAAAGUUUAGUACGACUAUAGGCUAUAAAGAAAAUGAGAAGGAAUUUACAAUUCAACAUAAUCAUCAUCAUCGUCAUCUGUCUCAUUAUUACAGUCGAGUUUAAAAGAGCUCGCAGACUUCAUCAACUCUGUGAGUCCAGUGAGAUCCUCCAGAUAGGAAGGAUGAUUAAUUGCUUGGAGCAGGAAUUCUUUUCCUCUUUUCCGAUACUCGGUCACCACCUGAAAAAGCUCAUUUAAUAAGAACUUAAAAUUAAAACUAGAAACAGAACCAAUGACCACCGCAAAAUAAUAAUACAAAAUAAUAAUACAGGGUAAAUCAUUAAAUCCAUCAUGCAGAAGUUUAUAGCUUAACAAAAAUAGGAACUGAUUCAGUUUCCUUAACAACUAUCCCAAAUAGCAAGUGAUGACACCCUUUUUCUUCUGUAUAACAACAGCAAGCUCCGUUUCUUGUCUAGUCGUGUCUCCUUUCUCUAGAUCCCUAAUUACUUUAGACUAACCAAAAGACAAGUGCCCGCAUAAUUAAUACACUCACCUUCAUGAACCUUCAUUCCAGAAUUUUUAGAACAAAUUAUUGUUAACGCUGUAACUCUUAUGGCUCUAAUUUUAUCCAUAGGGAAUUUGCUCAAGACAUCCAAGGUCACACAAAUGUAUCCACUCAGUAACUUACCACAUAUAAAGUUCCAAAAUUCUAGGGGUUGACAUCAAUGGCACAGCUAGGAUGGAUAUGUUGAGUUAUAGCUCAAAUUUGCUAGAGAGAAAUUUAUUGUUCAAUGAAGGAACCCUGAUAAAAGGGGGGAGCUCGUUGAUGAUGGGCAAAAUGCAUGGGGUAGUUGCAGUGUGGGGGUGCAGGGGCAACACAGCAGUAUGAUACGAUAUUGAUAGUCUUGGGCAUUCUUUAUUAUCCGGGCUGAUUAUGUAAAUCCUAUUUAUAUUAGGAAAUAGGAAUCUUAUUUCGACAAGGAUUAAGUCUAUAUAAAUAGGGCAAUACUCUCCCUUCAGUAGUGAAAAAGCAGGCAAUUUUCCAUGGAUAUAGAAAUAUACUUGCUGAACCAGAUAAAUUCCAUUUUCUAAUAUGGGCAUGUCUGUUUUCAAGGGUGUUUUCCUGUAACAAGAUUAAAAUGGCAAAUGAAAAUAAUUGCAAAAACUUACAGUGCUGCAACAGGCUGUGCAAUUACUAGCAUGGCCUACAAGUGUCGUUUGGGAAAAUUCAUGGAGAGAACCUCGAAUCUGAUGGGGUAGAAUACCCAGAGGUUGUUCACUGCUUCCACUGUUACUGGAGUCAGCAAUCUCACAAUCUGCAAAUAUCCCAUUAGGAUGAUGCAAGAUGUCAACAAAAAGUUCAGCUGCAAGAGAAGAAGCAAUAGGAGCAAGCCCUGGACGUGUAACGGUGCAUUGCUGGUCCAAAGUGCGAUUGGCAGUCGAAUCAGUUGGUGCAACCACGUCAUUGCAGAAGUAACAACCCAAUCUCUCCCCUCCGCUAUCAGCCAAAGCAAGGCUGUCCAUAUCACCAGAUAAAGCAAUUUCAGAUUCAGCUUUUACGUCAUUGGAUGAGUUAAGAGGACCCGAGCCAUGUCGCAUAACCAGGAAACUAUCAAACCCUAGAGCUGCAGUUAUAGUAAUCUUGUUAGCAUUUGCACAAAGGAGGGCUGGAAGCCAACGGCUUUCUCUUGUAUCAGUCAAGAGAAAAACUGCAUCAUGAGACUCAACCAACUCAUGCAGACGUCUACAAUCUUCAAGCACACUCUCCUCUUCUUGGCUGCUCACUGGAUGCCCAGGCAUUGGUAUUGCCAUCACAACACCUUCUGCUUCCACAGCAGGAAAUAUUUGCUUGAGGCUUUUAACAGCUGCCAUGGCUUUAAAAUCACCUCCAUUGAGACAGUUGUCCAAUGUAUACAAGGACUGCCUUAAUGGGUUAGACAUUGCCACCCUGCCAUUGUCAAGUAGCGUAAUUUUCCGAACACCCCAAGCCAUAAGCAUUCGGGCAACCUGGCAUCCAAGUGUACCUGCUCCUAAGAGAAGACACUUGGUAGAAGAUAACUCAUCCAAGUUAAGUGAAGGCCAAGCACGCCAUCUCAUUAGUUUUAAAUUCAAAUCUGCUGCAGAUAUGGCCAACCUGCUCGAUAUGUCUCAACAAGCUAAGAUAAAAUAGGAUCAUAGCAUUAUGGACCAAGAAAUGGCAUUGCAAACAACAUACAUUGUUGGAUCCAUAGAUUUAGCAAGGUUAAUAACCCUGGAUAUGUGUCUGCCUUUGUUAAGUUCCCAUCCUACAGCAUUAGGCACACACUGCAGAUCUCUCCAUCCUGUAUAUAUAUAUUAUUAACGAGCUAAAAGUCCAGUACGGAAAGAAAGAUAAAAGGUUUUAGGAAGUCAAAACCAACAAAAAGAACAGAGCUGUUACCCAAUUUGUGACGCUCUACCUUGCGGAAUUGUAAUUACAGCUUCACCAACAAGGGACACCCCCAGGUCAGCAAAACCACGAUUCUCUCUAUAGCAUAAAAAGUGGACAGUUUUGAGAUUCCAUCUUGAACAAAUCAGUGCUAGGAAGUUGCGUAGAGGCCAACCAGGAUUAUUUGGAAGAUGACACGGGUCAUAAAAACCAAAUAGCACCUUUUGCCCAUCACCCUGGCAAGCUUCCCAGUCCUUUAGAUGCCUAAUAGUAGCAUGGGAAUUCGAAGCAAUACAGACCAGAAAGAAUGGCACACCAGCAGUUAAACUUGAGUUACGCCAACCAUUACAAGCUACUGACACAGAAUCUGCCUCUUCUAAAGUAAACCAUUGUGAAGCAGGCUUCAACUCAACAACUGUUACAGGAGGAUCAAACACGAGGGCAGGGAAAGCAAACCAGUAAUGGAAGCUCCAUUUUUUCAGGUCUGCAAAUGAGAUAAGAAGGAACCUCAAUAACACUGCACUGUCCUCCACAGCUUUUCCGGUGUGAAUGUCUUCCCAAAUCUUCUUCGCUUCCUCCUUGAGCAAGCUUUUCUUAUCCAAGGCAUGGUAGGCCUCCAAUGUAUUAGUGUUGUAAAGAAUUCCAGGGACAGAGCAUCUGUUCCUGUUGCCGCGAGAGAUAGCUGGAACUGACGAUUGCUCACUUUCAUCACUAGGCAGGGAUUCCGAAAGAAGAGUCAAGUGGUUCGAUACCUGAGAAUGCGAACAAGGGGCAUAGAAACCGGUGAUGGCGAUAGGAGAAUCGUCGAUGCCGAACUUGUUGAGCUUCAAAGAAGACAACCUAUGCCAGAAACCCUCAUCUACGAAGCUCUGAAACGGCGCGAAUUGGAGAAUAGAUCCACCACUCCGUUCUUGUUUAGCCAUUGUUACUGGCUGCCAAUCUUUCACAAUUCCGAUUUAUCGAUUUCUUCUUCUUCU